UAAAUUCUCUAGGCAGCCAGCCACUGCAGGAAAUCAAAGGGACAAGAUAUUUCACCCAGGCUCUUUAUUAAAAGUACACAGAACGAUCAGAGGAGAAGACUGGGAGGCUGCAAAACCGCUGUAAAGGGAGAAAGACGAGAGACUUCAAAAGGCAUGCUAAACUAAGUAACAGAUACUUAUGAAACAUCUCAGUAAUUCUAGGUAAGUUCAAAUUCUGAAAUGUUAAUUGCUAACUAUAAAGUAUAUGUAUUUUGUUUAUAUAUGGUAUAAAGAGG
rnacentral:lncRNA from 1 species